AUUGAACGCUGGCGGCAGGCCUAACACAUGCAAGUCGAGCGGAGCGGCGGACGGGUGAGUAAUGCCUAGGAAUCUGCCUGGUCGUGGGGGAGAGCGUCAGGAAACGGGCGCUAAUACCGCAUACUAACAGAUGAGCCUAGGUCGGAUUGGCUGGUUGGUGGGGUAAAGGCCUACCAAGGCGCCGAUCCGGAACUGGUCUGAGAGGAUGAUCAGUCACACGGGAACUGGGAACGGGUCCAGACUCCAAGGGGAGCAAGCAGUGGGGAAUAUUGGACAAGGGGCGAAAGCCUGACCCAGCCAUGCCGCGUGGGUGAAGAAGGUCUUCGGAUUUUAAAGCACUUUAAGUUGGGAGGCGUUACCAACAGAAUAAGCACCGGCUAACUUCGUGCCAGCAGCCGCGGUAAUAC
rnacentral:rRNA from 1 species